GCUCCUUCCUGGGCUGGACACAUGCUGUCCCAUGCUUGACCAGGAAAACAGCAAGGCUCCCAGAAAAACAUCAGCAGAGCAGCCACCCACCCUGUUCACAUCUCGACACUUCACCAACACCUCCCCCUGCUUACAGUGAUGCUGUGCAGGGCAUUUCUGGCAUGACCUGCAAGGGUCUGGUGGCCACAGCAAUCAGUGCUGCCUGAGGGCUUCUGGCUAUCGAGGCUGGGGUCCCUUCUUGCUGUGUGUAUGAGCAAGUGACCUGUGCCAGGGACAGUGCCCCAGCCCAGGGCAGGGCUCCUGGGGCUGCUCUGAGUGUUCAUCACGUUCUUACUACCCGAGCACACAUUCUGGCAAGACAUUCAGCCUCCCCUUGACUCACAGAGCUGACAGCUCUCAAGUACGUCCCAAGGAUGAAUAAAAAGUGACAGAACAGGUAGUGAUUUCUGCAGUCAGCCAGAGUCUCUGUGAAGACAGUCUCAAAACUGUCUCACUGUCUUAGUGGCCAGAGGAUGCCUGUCACAGGCACUUGACCUGUAGGCAGAUGGUUACUGUCUGUCUAACACUGUCUUUUGGGGCUUGAUAGGCACUUCUAAAAUGCAGAUAGAUGGUGAGCCCUCACUGGGGGAAGGGGGCAGUGCUUGGCAGCUGAAUGCCAGCGUUAGGAUGUGCAGGGCAGGUUGCUGGGGAGCACGGCAUGUGUCUGUUAUCGGGGGCCAAUUUGACAGCCCCCAUCUGUAUUCACCCUGAGGCUGGCAGGGGUUUGCAGAGCAGGAUGGAAGAGCAGAAGUGUCACGGGGCUGAUGUCACCUGCCUGUGAUGUCACCACUGUCUUCUUCAGAGGAGCACUUCCAGUGAUAGCAGAGCUUCUGCAGUCUGUCUGCCAGGCUGGCACUCGCUCUGUAGAGCGUAAUUAAGGAAAUAUAUUAAUAGGUUGGGAGCCAGGGCCUGGGCAAUGUUCUUGUGUGACAGACAAAUGCAGAGACAAAGCAGACGCUCCCUUCAGAAGUCCUGCAGGAUGCUAUUAGCAGGCACAAACUCACAUCCCAUUAAUGCCAUUGCUGUUAGGCAACACCGAGUCAUUUACGUUUUAAACAAAGCUCCCAGACCAGCUCCAGUCCAGGAUCAGCUCCGGGAAACCUGCAAGGCUGUGUCUGCACCCAGGGAGCCUUGGGGUGUCCAGGAAUACCCUGCAAGUGAAAACAAACAUUGCAAGGGCUCAGCUUUUGUGCUGAUUGCAAAGCCACCCCACAGAGGUGACACGGGACAGGAACGAGAGCAUGGGGGAUGCUGGCAGGGCUCAUCUUUGCCAGGGUUUUUUUGAGGAUGGUGGAGUUGGUCUAAGUUGAUACUCCCUCAUGGGCCAUUAGUAACUUAAAUGUAGCCCAUGGGGUGGCCAGCAGGAAAGGACUCUGCCAGCUGCAUUUACAGGGACAGCUCCUGCACUCUGCAUCACUUACAAGCAGAACAUGUUGCCCAACUCCACUGAAACAGCUCUGAGAGCCCUGAAACUGCCAGUUUCCAAUCCCUGGCCUUACAUGAUGGUCUUAACAAACUAUGGCAUAAAUAUGCCAGGCAAGGGAAGGCAGCUUUCACAGAGGAUUGGGAAUGUCCUAAAACAAGGAAUGUGUUUUUCAGUGAAAGGGAGAUCUACUCAUUUGAAUGGACAGUGCUGCAGAAACAAACUGUUCAGAGGUGUUGGGAGGGGAGGAGAGGGGCACUGCAGCCAAAAACCAAGGGGCUAAUUGUGUAAGGCUGGUGAGGAGAUGCCUUGGUCUGAGCCACCGGUGUGCUAAUGGGGAGGUUGCUUAGUUACAGUGUCAAUGGUACCUCAGCAGCCCCAGGUAGGGGAGGGAGAGCCCAGCGUAAACAGCCAGGAGGAAGAAGGGUCAUUAAACUGUUCCCUAAAGACCCCUAACUAGUGCUGGUUGGAGGAAAUAAAUAAGGAGGAAAAGUUGGUCUAAGUGCCAGGGAGGAAGCCAAGCUGUUCAGGAGAUGGCUUGUCUGCUGCCUGAAACCACCUCUUGUCACUAAUUUCAGCUGGAGACUUUUCCGUAGCGUGGUCUCAGCCCUCAAGCAUUCCUGGCUUUUUUGUCUCUCUUCCACUUUCUCAUUUAAUUCCUUCUCCUUGGAGGUGGAGGCUGAGAGCUCUGGUGUGAGGGGGGCCGCGGUGCAGCCGGGGAAGCGGAAGGGUGCCUGGGGAUGGGAGCACACACGUGUUGCCCCUUCACAUGUGCCUCAGGCCUUUCAGGAAGAGCGGCCAGGUGGCUUUAUGUGACCUUUCCUCUGUGGGCAAACAUCACCCAAGCUGACCUGAGCCUGCAGCCUGUGGUACACAUUAACAGAAAAUCACGGGCCAAGCUGUGCCUGUGUCCUGGUCCUGUCCAGCAGGGGACAGUGGGCAGGGAGAAAAUCACGGCUACUUACAGGAGAGACCUUUUAUAAUCCACAGAAUACAAAGGACCCAAACCACCAAGAACUGCUUCCACGUGUGGCUUUGGAAAAAAACCACACCGACUAUUUCAGCUGGCAGGCUCCAAGGGUGAAAAUCACACAAAAGACACUGGGGAGCCAGACUGAGAAAUAAUAAUAACACUAGUAAUAAUAACAACAGUAACAAUAAUAAUAAUAAUAAACUAUUUUCUGUAUUUGAAGAAAA